rnacentral:lncRNA from 1 species
CUGGUUUCAGCAUCUCGCAGGACGUGACUGGCAUAAUAGACCGGAUGCUGCUUUCCACUGACCUCCCGAACCAAUACUGCUCCAACCGCUAACGAACUUGCUGCAAGGUACAGAUAUAAGGUCUCUGCUGGAGCGGGCUUUACCAAUAAAGGAGCCGAAGAAAGAUAUGCCUUUAUGCCUUGGAAGGCGUCUUCACACUCUGAAGUCCACUGGAAUGUUUUCGCAUUCUUUGGCCCUUUCAAUGUAUCAAAGAAAGGAAGGCACCUUUCUGCAGAUCUGGCGACGAA